UCUCCUCCGAUUUUAUUUUAGGCCCAGUUAUAUCCAUUUUAGAUGUAUGGUUCAGACCAACUUAUUAUCACAAGAUAUUAAAUUCAUUUUCUAAUGUCUGUUGAGACAAAUGUUCAGCUACACUGUUAGCUGGAGGUUUUUUUUCUUUUCUGGAACAAUGGUAUAAAUAUUAACUAAUGAAUAUUAGAUGAUUAAGUACAUAGCAAUAGCAUAGCGACGAAAUGGACAAAACAAAAUUUCCUUUGGCACUUUACAUACAUCUAAAACUGGAGGUAGCUAACUGAUAAGGGAAAAAAACCAAUAAAAGAAAACAUAUAUGUUUCCUUGGAGAAGGAGCGCUAAGUAAAAGGGAAUACGAAUUACAUGGGAGCAUGAACAGGUAGAUGAAGUAGUACAAUAAGAACUAAUCCUGGUUGAAGCGACUAGCUAGUUUUUCCUUGGAGAAUUCAAGCCCGACGAAGAGGCUCUGGAAAUCACAGAGAUGAUCGAAUGAAAAGCAUUGGCUGCUAUCUUUGACUUUAUCUGCCCUCUUUUUGGAAGUGGCUUUUGGCUUCUAAACCUGUUCCUGUUGGCAAAUUCAGCAGCUGAAACACGACCCAUUCUGUUGUUCAUUCUCUCAAACAAAUUAAACUGAUCAAUCAAUAUCUUUUGAAUGUAGGUAGCAAGUGUUUUUCUGAUAAGAAGAAUGUA
rnacentral:lncRNA from 1 species